rnacentral:rRNA from 1 species
UACGUAGGGUGCAAGCGUUAAUCGGAAUUACUGGGCGUAAAGCGUGCGCAGGCGGUGAUGUAAGACAGAUGUGAAAUCCCCGGGCUCAACCUGGGAACUGCAUUUGUGACUGCAUCGCUGGAGUGCGGCAGAGGGGGAUGGAAUUCCGCGUGUAGCAGUGAAAUGCGUAGAUAUCGGGAGGAACACCAGUGGCGAAGGCGAGUCCCUGGACAAUUCCUGACGCUGAGGCACGAAAGCCAGGGGAGCAAACAGG